CGAACGCUGCCGGCGUGCUAAUACAUGCAAGUCGAACGAGAGCGACCGGUGCUUGCACUGGUCAAUCUAGUGGCAACGGGUGAGUAACACGUGGGUAACCUGCCCAUCAUAGGGGGAUAACAUUCGGAAACGGAUGCUAAAACCGCAUAGGUCUUCGAACCGCAUGGUUUGAAGAGGAAAAUAGGCGCAAGCUUCUGCUGAUGGAUGGACCCGCGGUGCAUUAGCUAGUUGGUGAGGUAACGGCUCACCAAGGCCGUGAUGCAUAGCCGACCUGAGAGGGUGAUCGGCUACAUUGGGACUGAGACACGGCCCAAACUCCUACGGGAGGCAGCAGUAGGGAAUCUUCCGCAAUGGACGCAAGUCUGACGGAGCAACGCCGCGUGAGUGAAGAAGGUUUUCGGAUCGUAAAACUCUGUUGUUAGAGAAGA
rnacentral:rRNA from 1 species